AGAGUUUGAUCAUGGCUCAGAACGAACGUUAGCGGCGCGCCUAACACAUGCAAGUCGCACGAGAAAGGGCUUCGGCCCCGGUAAAGUGGCGCACGGGUGAGUAACACGUGGGUAAUCUGCCCUCGAGCGGGGGAUAACAUUCCGAAAGGAGUGCUAAUACCGCAUAAGACCACGACCUCGAAAGAGGACGCGGUCAAAGCUGGCCUCUAUACAUAAGCUAGCACUUGAGGAUGAGCCCGCGGCGCAUCAGCUAGUUGGUGAGGUAAUGGCUCACCAAGGCUAAGACGCGUAGCUGGUCUGAGAGGAUGAUCAGCCACACUGGAACUGAGACACGGUCCAGACUCCUACGGGAGGCAGCAGUGGGGAAUCUUGCGCAAUGGGCGAAAGCCUGACGCAGCGACGCCGCGUGAGUGAUGAAGGCCUUCGGGUUGUAAAGCUCUGUGGGGAGAGACGAAUAAGUGCAGCCUAAUACGUUGCAUGAUGACGGUAUCUCCUUAGCAAGCACCGGCUAACUCUGUGCCAGCAGCCGCGGUAAGACAGAGGGUGCAAACGUUGUUCGGAAUUACUGGGCGUAAAGCGUGUGUAGGCGGUCCACUAAGUCGGGUGUGAAAGCCCUGGGCUCAACCCAGGAAGUGCACUCGAAACUGGCGGGCUAGAGUAUCGGAGAGGUUGGUGGAAUUCUCGGUGUAGAGGUGAAAUUCGUAGAUAUCGAGAGGAACACCGGUGGCGAAGGCGGCCGACUGGACGAAUACUGACGCUGAGACACGAAAGCGUGGGGAGCAAACAGGAUUAGAUACCCUAGUAGUCC
rnacentral:rRNA from 1 species